UGGGGAAUUUUGGACAAUGGGGGAAACCCUGAUCCAGCCAUCCCGCGUGUGCGAUGAAGGCCUUCGGGUUGUAAAGCACUUUUGGCAGGAAAGAAACGUCAUGGGUUAAUACCCCGUGAAACUGACGGUACCUGCAGAAUAAGCACCGGCUAACUACGUGCCAGCAGCCGCGGUAAUACGUAGGGUGCAAGCGUUAAUCGGAAUUACUGGGCGUAAAGCGUGCGCAGGCGGUUCGGAAAGAAAGAUGUGAAAUCCCAGAGCUCAACUUUGGAACUGCAUUUUUAACUACCGGGCUGGGGUGUGUCAGAGGGGGGUGGAAUUCCGCGUGUAGCAGUGAAAUGCGUAGAUAUGCGGAGGAACACCGAUGGCGAAGGCAGCCUCCUGGGAUAACACUGACGCUCAUGCACGAAAGCGUGGGGAGCAAACAGG
rnacentral:rRNA from 1 species